rnacentral:rRNA from 1 species
CCUACGGGUGGCUGCAGUGGGGAAUAUUGCGCAAUGGGCGAAAGCCUGACGCAGCGACGCCGCGUGAGGGAUGAAGGUCUUCGGAUCGGAAACCUCUGUCAGCAGGGAAGAACGGUCACAGGGCUAAGCAGCAGUGAAUUGACGGUACCGGCAAAGGAAGCACCGGCUAACUCCGUGCCAGCAGCCGCGGUAAGACGGAGGGUGCGAGCGUUAAUCGGAAUUACGGGGCGUAAAGCGCUCGUAGGCGGUAUGUCAAGUCAAGGGUGAAAUCCCCGCGCUCAACGUGGGAACUGCCUUUGAAACUGUCAAACUGGAGUGUGUGAGCGGAUAGUGGACUUCCAGGUGU